UUCUUCCCUACGGCCCAACAGAAAAAGAAGGAAGAACAUCUCGAUGUUCUUCUUUCCCUGCACCGAAGAAGAACCUGUUCGACGAGAGCCCAUUGUCAGUGCGGUGGAACGAACAAAAAAAAUCUUGGGGCGAGCCUCAUUCUCCGAGAGACGACUUGGAGCUUCAAAAUCCUGGUUUGAUUGCAAUCGUUGCAGCACAUAGCGAUUUUCUAGAGAGCAACUACAGCUCCCUCUAGAGAGCAACUACAGCUCCCUCUCAACCUUUUGCCUAUCAGUAGCACUAACGGCACAUGAUAUUCAGGGUCAAAUGUUGAAGAACACUAUCCUUCGCUUAUUACAGUCGUUGGUAGUGGCUGCAACACUUUUUGUAUGCACUCAUCCUGGUUCGAACGGUGCUUCUCAUUUGUUGUGAAAUAUGCAGGAGGACCCAAACAUGCGUAGGUGUUCAAGAGCUGGUUUUCUAUCGUAUUCCACUUCAAACCGGUUCCUGGUUUUCAACUUGUAGCUUGUUGUCCUGUCGAUUAAGUAGCAGGAGGUGGCUAUAGUUUCUGGCAAAAAAUCUUCUCCAACAUUCAUGUGAAAUAGAAGUGCCUUAGCGAUGUUCAAUGCGUGUCGAUUCCCCCCCACCCCCCCGGGUUAUCAAAUUUGAAAGCCUUUAUAUGGUUACUGAACUUCAAUCAUGUAGAAUUGCACGAUGUAGUCACAGACUUCAGUUUUCUUGUUAAGAAAGUACACCCAAGAUGCAAGAUUUGUCAUCUAUUAACAGAAAAAAAUAUUGAAAUUUGAAGUUUGAUAGUUUGGGAGAUGGUCCCUAUACAUCAGCGUGUAUUAGAUCAGACCACUCUUGCCUUCUUAUUUCAGACUUGGGAAAUGGUUUUCUUGACAUCUUGGCAUAGCUGCAUGCUCACAAACUUGGAAAUUCGAAGAAAAACUCAAAACAUAGCUUGGAACAAUCUUUCUGAUGGAUACCCGAUCCUACAAUACCAUAGGUAGGUUGACUCCUUAUUCUUAGCCACACGAAAAGCAGUAGCAGUCUUCAAAUUGAUGAAGUAAAGUCCAUCUUGUUUGAUGCCUUCACCAGUCUUUCUCUUGGACACUGAAUCCUCCAGAAUUAACUUCUUGGAAAAUAUAAUGUUGCAAUCAAACUCUUUAGUUAGCUUGCUAACGAAAAGUAGACUGAUAGUAAAAUUCUGAACAUGAAGUUCAGUUGCCAUCUUUAAAACUAUUAUCAAACACAGUUUUCCAACCCUUCUGGCAGGCGUCACGGAACCAUCUAGCAUUUGUAUACUAGUUUUUGUGACUCAUGUCAUGUUUAACCGUUUAGUUGUGUCACUUGUAAUGUGCUCAAUAGCUCCACUGUCAACUAUCCAUGCGGUGGGACUUGGCAAGGUAGUAAGGGCACGCCACUUACCAAUUAUUUCAGAUGGAUGAGCAGACAUAGAUGCUGGUGUGGUGACAACUAAGUUUGAUUGAGCAACCUGCUUCA